rnacentral:rRNA from 1 species
UACGUAGGGUGCAAGCGUUGUCCGGAAUUACUGGGCGUAAAGAGCUCGUAGGCGGUUUGUCGCGUCGUCUGUGAAAACUCGAGGCUCAACCUCGAGCUUGCAGGCGAUACGGGCAGACUUGAGUACUGCAGGGGAGACUGGAAUUCCUGGUGUAGCGGUGAAAUGCGCAGAUAUCAGGAGGAACACCGGUGGCGAAGGCGGAUCUCUGGGCCUUACCUGACGCUCAGGCGCGAAAGCUAGGGGAGCGAACAGG